rnacentral:lncRNA from 11 species
CUCCAGUUUGCUAGUAAAAUUGAAUUAUUGUGUUGCAAAAUGAUGUAUGUCUAAAACGUGUGUCACCAACAUGAAAUAUUUGGAAAGCUCUGAGCUAGACUGUUAACUAACACGUCAGGUGACAGAUAUUGCUAAUGCUAAAAUAUCUACACAGGUUACUAAGGGCCCUUCCACACAGUCAUAUAACCCAGAAUAUCAAGGCAGAUAAUCCAUAGUAUCUGCUUUUGAACUGGGAUAUCAGAGUCCAUACUGCCAUAUAAUCCAGUUCAAUGUGGAUUUUAUACAGCUAUAUGGAAGGGUCCUAAGUAUUUUUAGCUAUUUUACAUACUGUGGGAUCAAAAAUACAUCUAUUGUGCAAUGUGUCUCUGUAUUUGAAGCUCAAAAAGCAGGUUUGCAUAAUAAAUGUAUAUGGUGUACAGCCAACCCCCAAUUUUCAUAGGAGUUGGAGCACAGCUCCAUGCAAUUGAAACAUUGUACAUAUUUCCAAAAGCAUUGAAGGGUCAUAAGUGGAAAUAAAGGGCAGCUAUUGUAGUUCUGGAAGUGGAGGAGAGUACACGCCAUGGUCUGUGGCUCCUUUGCCAGCCUGCCUUUUUCUCCACUCACUCUCCCUACUUUCCCUCACUAGCUUGCUCUCUCCCCUCCUUGUCUGGUGCAGCAGAGGGAAGGAAAACGUAGCAAGCAAUCAGUUGAGCAGAUAAAGAAAUAGGGGCCCAGUUCCUCCCUUUCUUUGCCUGGGCAAAAUGGGAUUGGCUCCUUUUCUUGUUGCUACAUGCCACAAGUGUUUGUUUCACCUAGGCAAAGGAAGGAAGGAAGGAAGGAAGGAAGGAAGGAAGGAAGGAAGGAAGGAAGGAAGGAAGGAAGGAAGGACGGAAGGAAGGAAGGAAGGAGACAACACUUUUUCUCGGCCUGCCCAAUUGCUCUCUUUCAGUAAGAAAAGGAGUUCUGGCACAGGAGGCAAUGAGACAGAAAAUCAAGUCCCCUGAGAAUACAAAAGCAAAGUUUAUUUUCACAUAGCUAUGAGAAGGCGGGACAGCUGUACACCCCAAAAGGUUUGUACUUGCAAAUGGCUGCCACAAAGCAUGAUGUCGUAAACAAAGGGUAUAUAUCUCGGCUUAUCUAAAUUUGACCAAUUACUGAGGGUCUUCUUCA